UACGGGGGGGGCAAGCAUUGUUCGGAAUUACUGGGCGUAAAGCGCACGUAGGCGGCUUUGUAAGUUAGAGGUGAAAGCCCGGGGCUCAACUCCGGAACUGCCUUUAAGACUGCAUCGCUUGAAUCCAGGAGAGGUGAGUGGAAUUCCGAGUGUAGAGGUGAAAUUCGUAGAUAUUCGGAAGAACACCAGUGGCGAAGGCGGCUCACUGGACUGGUAUUGACGCUGAUGUGCGAAAGCGUGGGGAGCAAACAGG
rnacentral:rRNA from 1 species